GUGUCAGCCGCCGCGGUAAUACGGAGGAUCCAAGCGUUAUCCGGAAUCAUUGGGUUUAAAGGGUCCGUAGGCGGUUUUAUAAGUCAGUGGUGAAAUCCGGCAGCUCAACUGUCGAACUGCCAUUGAUACUGUAGAACUUGAAUUAUUGUGAAGUAACUAGAAUAUGUAGUGUAGCGGUGAAAUGCUUAGAGAUUACAUGGAAUACCAAUUGCGAAGGCAGGUUACUAACAAUACAUUGACGCUGAUGGACGAAAGCGUGGGUAGCGAACAGGAUUAGAUACCCUGGUAGUCCACGCCGUAAACGAUGGAUACUAGCUGUUCGGUAGCAAUACUGAGUGGCUAAGCGAAAGUGAUAAGUAUCCCACCUGGGGAGUACGAACGCAAGUUUGAAACUCAAAGGAAUUGACGGGGGCCCGCACAAGCGGUGGAGCAUGUGGUUUAAUUCGAUGAUACGCGAGGAACCUUACCAGGGCUUAAAUGUAGAGUGACAGUUUUGGAAACAGAAUUUUCUUCGGACACUUUACAAGGUGCUGCAUGGUUGUCGUCAGCUCGUGCCGUGAGGUGUCAGGUUAAGUCCUAUAACGAGCGCAACCCCUGUUGUUAGUUGCCAGCGAGUCAAGUCGGGAACUCUAACAAGACUGCCGGUGCAAACCGAGAGGAAGGUGGGGAUGACGUCAAAUCAUCACGGCCCUUACGUCCUGGGCUACACACGUGCUACAAUGGCCGGUACAGCGAGCAGCCACUGCGCGAGCAGGAGCGAAUCUACAAAACCGGUCACAGUUCGGAUUGGAGUCUGCAACCCGACUCCAUGAAGCUGGAAUCGCUAGUAAUCGGAUAUCAGCCAUGAUCCGGUGAAUACGUUCCCGGGCCUUGCACACACCGCCCGUC
rnacentral:rRNA from 1 species